GAUGAAGAACGUAGCGAAAUGCGAUAAGUAAUGUGAAUUGCAGAAUUCAGUGAAUCAUCGAGUCUUUGAACGCACAUUGCGCCCCCUGGUAUUCCGGGGGGCAUGCCUGUCCGAGCGUCAUUGCUGCCCUCAAGCACGGCUUGUGUGUUGGGCCCCCGUCCCCGGUUUCCCCCGGGGACGGGCCCGAAAGGCAGCGGCGGCACCGCGUCCGGUCCUCGAGCGUAUGGGGCUUUGUCACCCGCUCUGUAGGCCCGGCCGGCGCCAGCCGACACCCAACUUUAUUUCAAAGGUUGACCUCGGAUCAGGUAGGGAUACCCGCUGAACUUAAGCAUAUCAAUAAGCGGAGGA
rnacentral:misc_RNA from 1 species